GAUGAACGCUGGCGGCGUGCCUAAUACAUGCAAGUCGAGCGAACAGACGAGGAGCUUUCUCCUCUGACGUUAGCGGCGGACGGGUGAGUAACACGUGGAUAACCUACCUAUAAGACUGGGAUAACUUCGGGAAACCGGAGCUAAUACCGGAUAAUAUAUUGAACCGCAUGGUUCAAUAGUGAAAGACGGUUUUGCUGUCACUUAUAGAUGGAUCCGCGCCGCAUUAGCUAGUUGGUAAGGUAACGGCUUACCAAGGCAACGAUGCGUAGCCGACCUGAGAGGGUGAUCGGCCACACUGGAACUGAGACACGGUCCAGACUCCUACGGGAGGCAGCAGUAGGGAAUCUUCCGCAAUGGGCGAAAGCUUGACGGAGCAACGCCGCGUGAGUGAUGAAGGUCUUCGGAUCGUAAAACUCUGUUAUUAGGGAAGAACAAAUGUGUAAGUAACUAUGCACGUCUUGACGGUACCUAAUCAGAAAGCAACGGCUAACUACGUG
rnacentral:rRNA from 1 species